ensembl:lncRNA
CCAACAAAGUUUUGACAUUGAUCCCAUUUUCCACAACAUAUGUGUGUGAGCUGAGCUUUUCAAGCCUAACUGCUAUAAAAACUAAAAACAGAGAGAGACUGAAAGCUGCUGAAGAGCUUUGUGUAUGCCUUUCUUCAAUUCCUGCCAGGAUAUCGGCUUUGUGUUCAUCUAAACAGGCCCAGGUUUCACACUGAGAGGACUCGGGCCCAGAGAGCAGCACAGGAGCUGGUAGAGAAGAACAGUUUACAGAUGAUGAGGAGGAGGAGGAAGAGGUCACCCUAGAUCAGCCGACUACCUUUAUGUUUUCCAAACAGCCACAACAUAGUGUUGUGAUGCAGGAGAACCAGACCGCAGCGCAGGAGCUACAGGAGGAGAAACCCUCACAGACAUGGAGGAGGAUGUGGUCGAACAGCCAGGAUAAUUUUACACCAUAGAACAGUUAACCUGGUUCUUGGAGCAGAUUUUAGGACAAGAUGAUGUCGUACUAACAAACUACUUUCCGGAUAGAAAACAAAUCAUAAAAUCUGUGGAGCACACAACAACAGAUGUGUUGUUAUCUCUAGCAUCCCUGCUGGUGCCUCUGCAAAUUACACCUGCAACAUGAGGGGUCGUUAUGUGAACAUCAUCAUUCCCAAUGUUAUCCAGGCUCUCACGCUCUGUGAAGUGGAAGUCUAUGGGGUUCCAGGUUACACUUUUAUAUCCAGUUCACAAUUUCAUAUACAUUUGAAGUCAAAUUAAGUUUUACAACAGCUGCUAAAUAUCAACAUUGCUAAUUUUUUUUAGUGCCUGUUACUAAGAGGGCAUUUCUGAGAUUGAAGUUUAACAUCAGUGAGUAUCUUAUGAAACCUACUGUGAGGGACAAAAUUAUUCAAAAGGUUUGUGUUUAUGACAUGUAUGGUAGAUUCAUAAAUAAAUAAAUAAAUAAUACUAAUUUUUCAUCAUAGACGAUAUCUGCCAAUGCCCAGCCUUCAGUGCGUCAGAUCUGUUGGACUACAGAACCAGAGGUGGAAAAUGAAACUUAAAAAACGGUGGCAGAAAUAUAUCUGAAACAAGAAGAAGAAGAAGCGGAAGAAGAAGAAGAAGUGUUCAAAGAACAAAAAGAAAGAAAAAACAUCAAAUGUGUGAG